GGAUCAGUGGCGAACGGGUGAGUAACACGUGAGCAACCUGCCCCGGACUCUGGGAUAAGCGCUGGAAACGGCGUCUAAUACUGGAUACGAGACGCAACCGCAUGGUUAGUGUUUGGAAAGAUCUUUCGGUCUGGGAUGGGCUCGCGGCCUAUCAGCUUGUUGGUGAGGUAAUGGCUCACCAAGGCGUCGACGGGUAGCCGGCCUGAGAGGGUGACCGGCCACACUGGGACUGAGACACGGCCCAGACUCCUACGGGAGGCAGCAGUGGGGAAUAUUGCACAAUGGGCGGAAGCCUGAUGCAGCAACGCCGCGUGAGGGAUGACGGCCUUCGGGUUGUAAACCUCUUUUAGCAGGGAAGAAGCGAAAGUGACGGUACCUGCAGAAAAAGCGCCGGCUAACUACGUGCCAGCAGCCGCGGUAAUACGUAGGGCGCAAGCGUUAUCCGGAAUUAUUGGGCGUAAAGAGCUCGUAGGCGGUCUGUCGCGUCUGCUGUGAAAACCCGAGGCUCAACCUCGGGCCUGCAGUGGGUACGGGCAGACUAGAGUGCGGUAGGGGAGAUUGGAAUUCCUGGUGUAGCGGUGGAAUGCGCAGAUAUCAGGAGGAACACCGAUGGCGAAGGCAGAUCUCUGGGCCGUAACUGACGCUGAGGAGCGAAAGGGUGGGGAGCAAACAGGCUUAGAUACCCUGGUAGUCCACCCCGUAAACGUUGGGAACUAGUUGUGGGGUCCUUUCCACGGAUUCCGUGACGCAGCUAACGCAUUAAGUUCCCCGCCUGGGGAGUACGGCCGCAAGGCUAAAACUCAAAGGAAUUGACGGGGACCCGCACAAGCGGCGGAGCAUGCGGAUUAAUUCGAUGCAACGCGAAGAACCUUACCAAGGCUUGACAUACACG
rnacentral:rRNA from 1 species